UUGGUGCUUUCUUUGUAACAGCCCCAAAUUGGACACUUCCUCAAGACUCAUAAACAAGAGAAUGGAUCAGCUGUUGCGGACUGUGGCAAGGUCCCCAACUGCUACGUGGAACAUGGGCGACUCCUACAACACUGAGCGAAGUAAGCUGACAGGAAGAACAGCUGCUAAGAGUGGCUGCUGUACGAUUUUAUUUAUAUAAAAUUCAAGACAGGCAGAACUGAUGCAUGGAUGUGAGAAGUUAUGCUUGUGUUUACCCUGGGUGCAGACGGCAGUGGCUGAGGUCGGGGGCUGUGAGCCGUGAAAAUUCAAAGCCGUAUCCUUAGUAUCUGUGUCUUUUUCCUCCCAGAUUUGUGCAUUUCUUGUCCUGUUGGGAGUUUCCCAGCUGUGCAUCGGAGAAUUGAAUUUGCAGGUUGGGGAGGCGCUGCCGUCCGAAAACAAGGUCCCCACGUGGCUCGCCAAACGCACUUUGCAGCCCAAGUAGGUACAGACGUUCCUUAUUAUCUGACCUCCCUCUCAAGUCCCGCCGGUUUUCGCUUUUGUUUUUUUUUCCGGUACCGGGAGUGGAACUCACGACCUUGCUCCUGCCAGGCAGGCGCUGUGCCGCUGAGCUAAAGCCCCAGCCCCGGUCUUCGCUUUCAUCCCCUCCGCGAGGACGAAGCCCGAGCUGCCCGGCCCCGCGCGCCAGGCCUUCUGCGGCGUCAGCGCAGUCGCGUCCGGGCUCCCCCCGCCACCUCCGACCGCAGCGCCCUAGCAGGAAGCAGCUCACGGCCCCUGCUCAAGCAGCAUCCGGCUGCUCCAGGUUUUCCCGAAGCUCCAUUACUCUGGCAAGGCCAUUUUCUCCAAGGAAGCUGUCAUCCACCCAGGAGUUCGAGGAGGUCCGAGUGUGAGAACCGUUAUCCAUUACCCGGCCGGAAACAGGACGACCGCGCAGAGAGCUCUGCCUUCCGGAAGACCCGCCCCACUUGUCCAAUCAGCGGGAGGAAGGGCAGCUUGAGCCCGUUGCCAGGAACUACGAUGGCGUCCCGGGAUUGCUCUGCGCUCCUACGAACGCUAGCGGCAUAGCCACGCCCCUUCCUAGACGCUCGACCAGCUCUUCCAAUCAGCGGGAGGAAGGGCAACUCGAGGGCGGCGCCAGGAGCCAACAUGGCGUUCCCGGCUCGCUCUGUCCUCUCGGAGGCUAGCCGCGGAGCCGCGUCCUUUCUGGCUAUUGCUGAUCUGGGUUCUGUCAUCCUCGACAUCACCUGUCCCUCUUUCACUUAUGGAAACGACCCAGCCAGCAGAUUGAGAAGAUUCUGCGCUCACAGCAUUAACCCAGAUCCAAAAUCACACCUGCAGGUGUGAGGUGUUUCUCCGCGUCUGCUGAGUGAGUGAGGUCACUGCCUUCUCGGGAAGCUGCCUGGGUCCGCGGGAGUGGAGCGGCACGCGUUCACACACAGUGCAAGUCAGAAUGGGCUUCUUUAUUCA